GGGACCUUCAAGGACCACCCACCAGCCACUGCUACAGGAGGACAAUAAACAGAAGAAGGAGAGCGGCACCAAAGAGGCGAAAAAACGAAAGAGCGCACCACCUCCUGACACCACAUCCACAAAGAAGUCCAAAUGUACCUCCAGUGCUGAGGGGGACGACAAGGAGGUUUUUCUCCUCCCUGUUCGUGGGCGUGAGCGUUACGAGAUGUUGAAGAAGAUCAAUGACGGUUUGGAGCUGCUUGACAAGGACAGCAAAAGCAAGUCAAAGGUCUCAGUGAAGCAUGAGGUUCCCGUGCCCUCCAGUGGAAAGAGGCUGCUCCAGAGAGGAGAGAGGAGUGACAGCGACUAAGAUGCCCAUCACCUCAAUUUCGAAAACAAAUGUCACCUUUUUGUCUAAGCCUUUAGGAUUAUUUCAGGUUUUAAAUGCCCAUUUAAAAACCAAAAUGCCAUCCUGCCUCAGUUAAAACGGUUCCUGAAACUGUACUGCCUGAUUAGUCACUGCACUGACAUACUGUUGUGUUCAGUUAUGUUUUUCUUUUCUUUUUAAAAAAAACAAAAAAAACAACCCUAUGUUCCUAAUUGGGUUAGAGCCGUUCAGCAUGGUUUGAGUGAGAUUAAGAAUGAUCCUUGUCAUAACGAGUCACUGCCGUUUAUUUAAAUAAAGUUCAAAGCUAGGCUUGCAAAACUUGAAUGGAAUUUGCCUCUGAUGUUG